CAUAUAAUUCAAUCACUCAGUACUCCAAUUACAUAAUCAAUAACUCAUAAAUCAAUCUUUGAUUUAUUCCACAGACUCACUUCUCAGUAUUCAAAAACUAUCCAUUACUCUUCAACAACAAAAAAAACAAAGAUACAAAGAGACAAAGAGGUAGCACCAAGCUUACCCCAUCUCAUAACUAUCAUAGUCUGGCUCCCAGACUAACUUCUAGAACUUCUAUAUACUUACUUCUUAUUCCCAGAUUCUAAUCAUAAUCUUGUAAUUAGUUAAUUUUAAUAACUAAAUCAAUCAUCCGUCCUCCUGA
rnacentral:lncRNA from 1 species